rnacentral:lncRNA from 1 species
UGAAGUCUUCUGGGAUAGCUCCAUAAAACAGCUUGGGCUCCAGCCCAGCAAAUUGUUGAUGUUUUGACGCAUGGAGAAGUUGAGGCUCCUGUGAUUCUUCAAGCAGACUAGCUGCGCUGGAUUCACCCUAACAGCUGAAGCUUUUUAUUUUUUUGCGUGAAAAAAAAACAUAAUUAAAGCAAUUUAAUUAAGUAUUCAUUAUCUAAAACUUAAGAAUAUAUUUAUUUUAAUUAUAGAAUUGUUAGAGUAACUUUAUAUAAAUUUGUUUUACAUGAAACAACUGUUUAAUAGUUUGAAAACAUGCUAAUGGACCAUAAGGAGUAGACUAGCCCUGACAGUGCAAAAGCACUAUAUGGUUUAAUAUCUUGUGAAGGAAUGUCAUGUAUUAGACAAGAGCCUGCUGGAAUGGUGGUAUGAAGGCAUAAGGGACCCGGAUAAGAACACCAGGAAUGCUUUGAAGACGCUGCACAUCAUGGUCGCCUGGGAAUCUGGUGCGAAAGAAAUUGGCGAGUGUUCAAUAAGGAAGAAAUAGAAAAAGACAGGCUUGUCAACAGGAUAAAAGAAGAGCUGCGUAUAUGGGGGUUCUACGGUGCAACAAGCUUAGCGAGAAUAUAGCACCAGGUUACCCUGGCACAGUUUCAGAAAAACAAAAAAAAAAAAGGAACGUCAUGUAUUAGAGUCCUAAACACUAGCUCGGUUUUUCCUUUUAUUUUAAAGGUAAUUAAAUUGGCCUUCUAGGCGGUUUAACGAUGUAAAUUUCGAAAACAAACCAGCAUUAAUUCCAAUCGAAGUGCUACGUAUAUAUGAUAGAAUCAAUACAUAUGUAUAUAGACUAAUGAU